rnacentral:lncRNA from 1 species
CUCUCAUCACAAAGAAGGGAGAAGAGAUACAGAGUGACAACUAGUCGUAUUAUCCUUUAAGCCUCAUGAACAAGAUAUUUUCUUCAUAUACACACCAAAGAGGUCAAAGACAAAACAAAAGGGUUUGAUAAUAAUCUUGUUCAUCAGGGUGACUGUUGUAUUUCUGAACAGAAUGCAGGCAAUGAUCCAAAGAUACAAUAAGGAAUCCAAAGGUAUGAAGAAGUAAUUCAUUUGAGGAAAUUAAAGAGUAGAAGAAUGUGAUUGGAGCUAUAUUAUAAAUGUUAGAUAUUUUUCAUAGAUGAUGGACCUUGAACCUCUAAAGAUGAAGCA